rnacentral:lncRNA from 1 species
GGGCACUGCUGGCCAUUCCAGGAGCGCUGUGGGCAGAGCAAACAGGAAGCAGAGGGCCGGAGCAUGGCAGGCACUCCACCUUGGCCCAGGGGUGUUGGGCAGAUCCAAAAGCAUCACACUGGGAUGAGGCAGCCAGCUGGAGAGUGCUGGGGCACAUCAGGAGAAGGUUGAAAACCACAGAGCUGCACCUGCAGUUGGCAUUGGCUCCCUAUGAAGCGCAGCUUGCUGGUGCAGUCAGGAGUCCUUGGAGCAAAGCUGCAUCCUGCCAUGGUAGGUGCCGUGCAAGCAGCAAUUUCUGCCCCUACCAGAGCUUCGUAGUCUGGUAGAAAAUAAGAAAAAUCAGUG